AAACGUUUUGACACUUUGUCACCGUUAGAGUAUCGGCUGACGUCGCUGCAAGUGGGCAAGUUUAAACAGCCUUGGCCUGAUGCUGACUGGUCCCGCCGGAUUACUACUGACAUCAAGAGUUGACCGCAGCUGUGAUGUGCUGGGGGAGUGCGAAGACAACAAUGACCCUGGUCUCCAUCAUGUGCAUGUGAAAGUCGAUUGCUCAUUUCCCUGCAGUGGAUGAAUGGGUACAACCUUGUGUCAAGAUUCUUUGGCUUUCGGAAUGAGCUGCGCCAGCACAAGAUAGCCGCGUACAUUCCGGAUGUCACCGACCUUUCCAGCUGGGUAAAUAGCAGCAGAACCUCCGACGAGAUCACCAUGGGACUGGCAAGCGUCAGCCUAAUCUUCGACGUCCUCCUGUUAGCUGGAGCAGCAAGGGUAACGACCUGUCUUGUGUCUGCGUGAAAGUGGCGCUGACUGAGAGAGUUGUAGAUUUCUUUGAUCAUAAAGCAUUUCAAAUUAUAAACUGUUUCACUGUGCACAGCCCCUGGCGAUCGAAAUGUGUUUGCCUCAUACUUUUUAACAUGCGAUAAAUAAGUGAGUAUUGAGCUGUGACUACUCGCAUUUCCGAAAAAUAAAGAAGUAUACUACGUUGC